GGAAUAUUGCACAAUGGGCGCAAGCCUGAUGCAGCAACGCCGCGUGAGGGACGAAGGCCUUCGGGUCGUAAACCUCUUUUCUGGGGGACGAGUAAGGACGGUACCCCAGGAAUAAGUCUCGGCUAACUACGUGCCAGCAGCCGCGGUAAAACGUAGGAGGCGAGCGUUAUCCGGAUUUACUGGGCGUAAAGCGUACGCAGGUGGCUUCGUUAGUCGGACAUGAAAGCUCCUGGCUUAACUGGGAGAGGUUGUUCGAUACUGCGGGGCUUGAGGUUGGGAGAGGGACGUGGAAUUCCCGGUGUAGUGGUGGAAUGCGUAGAUAUCGGGAGGAACACCAGUGGCGCAAGCGGCGUCCUGGCCCACACCUGACGCUGAGGGACGAAAGCGUGGGUAGCAAACAG
rnacentral:rRNA from 1 species